AUGACCUUCAUCAUCAUCUUCAUCUGGACUCUCACAGCGUUUGCUCAAGAGUGUAGAGGACAGAUCACCGUCACUCAGAGUCCCUCAAUGACAGCAGCUCAACCAGGACAAACACUUAUAAUACACUGUAAAACUAGCAGUGAUGUGUACAAGGAUGGUUCGGGGGGUCGCUUAGCCUGGUACUUACAGAGACUCGGAGAAACUCCUAAACUCCUGAUUUAUUAUACAAGCACCCUCCAGUCAGGAACUCCAUCUAGAUUCAGUGGCAGUGGAUCUAACAGUGAUUUCACUCUGACCAUCAGUGGAGUCCAGACUGAAGAUGCUGGACAUUAUUACUGUCAGAGUUAUCACUGGAUCAACAGUAAACAUGUGUUCACACAGUGAUAAAGAGUCGUACAAAAACCUCCGUCAGUCAGAGUCACAGUGACUGAACUGAUACUGCAGCUGCUCACACACUUUCACACACUUUCACACACACUCAACAGCAGAAACACAAAUAUGAUCUUAAUAUCAGCUUUGUUGAGCUUCAUCAGU